rnacentral:rRNA from 1 species
GACGAACGCUGGCGGCGUGCUUAACACAUGCAAGUCGAACGGAAAGGCCCUGCUUGCAGUGUUCGCGAGUGGAGAACGGGAGAGUAACACGAGUGUGAUGUGCCCCUUACUGGGGGAUAAGCCGGGAAAACUGGGUAUAAUACUGUAGAGGACCAUGCUGUAUGGGGGGUGGUGGAAAGCUUAGGUGCGGUAGGGGGUGAGCUCGCGUCCUAUCAGCGUGUUGGUGGGGUAAGGGCCUACCAAGGCGGCGACGGGUAGCCGGCCUGAGAGGGUGGAAGGGGACAUUGUGACUGAGAUACGGCGCAGACUCCUACGCGAGGCAGCAGUGGGGAAUAUUGUACAAUGGGCGUAAGCGUGAUGUAGAGACGCGGCGUGGGGGAUGACGGCGUUCUGGUUGUAAAAUCCUUUCAGCGAUGACGAAGAGCUUGUGGUGACGGUAGUGGUAGAAGAAGCACCGGCUAACUACGUG